AGAGUUUGAUUCUGGCUCAGAUUGAACGCUGGCGGUAUGCUUAACACAUGCAAGUCGAACGGUAACAGAUCUAGCUUGCUAGAUGCUGACGAGUGGCGGACGGGUGAGUAACGCGUGGGAAUCUACCCAGAAGUUCGGGACAACCUGGUGAAAACCAGGCUAAUACCGAAUGUUGUCUACGGGCUAAAGGAGGGGAUCUUCGGACCUUUCGCUUUUGGAUGAGCCCGCGUUAGAUUAGCUAGUUGGUGGGGUAAAGGCCUACCAAGGCGACGAUCUAUAGCUGGUCUGAGAGGACGAUCAGCCACACUGGGACUGAGACACGGCCCAGACUCCUACGGGAGGCAGCAGUGGGGAAUAUUGGACAAUGGGGGCAACCCUGAUCCAGCAAUACCGCGUGUGUGAAGAAGGCCCGAGGGUUGUAAAGCACUUUCAAUUGUGAAGAAAAGUUAUAGUUUAAUACGCUAUGACCUUGACGUUAACUUUAGAAGAAGCACCGGCUAACUCCGUGCCAGCAGCCGCGGUAAUACGGAGGGUGCGAGCGUUAAUCGGAAUUACUGGGCGUAAAGCGUGCGUAGGCGGUUAUUUAAGUCAGAUGUGAAAGCCCAGGGCUCAACCUUGGAACUGCAUUUGAAACUGGAUAACUAGAGUUUGGUAGAGGUGAGUAGAAUUCCUAGUGUAGCGGUGAAAUGCGUAGAUAUUAGGAGGAAUACCAGUGGCGAAGGCGGCUCACUGGACCAAAACUGACGCUGAGGCACGAAAGCGUGGGGAGCGAACGGGAUUAGAUACCCCGGUAGUCCACGCCGUAAACGAUGUCAACUAGUCGUUGGGCCUUUCGGGGCUUAGUGACGCAGCUAACGCGUGAAGUUGACCGCCUGGGGAGUACGGCCGCAAGGCUAAAACUCAAAUGAAUUGACGG
rnacentral:rRNA from 1 species